UAGUCCACGCCCUAAACGAUGCUUACUCGAUGUGUGAUCGUAAGAUUGCGCGUCCAAGGGAAACCAUUAAGUAAGCCACCUGGGGAGUACGUUCGCAAGAAUGAAACUCAAAGGAAUUGACGGGGGUCCGCACAAGCCGGUGGAGCAUGUGGUUUAAUUCGAUUGAUACGCGAGGAACCUUACCUGGGCUCGAACAUUACUGGACAACUUCUGAAAGGAAGCCUCUUCUUCGGAGCCGGUAGUGAGGUGCUGCAUGGUUGUCGUCAGCUCGUGCCGUGAGGUGUUGGGUUAAGUCCCGCAACGAGCGCAACCCCUAUUCUUAGUUGCUAGCAGGUAAUGCUGAGGACUCUAGGAAGACUGCCGGCGUAAGCCGCGAGGAAGGUGGGGACGACGUCAAAUCAUCAUGGCCUUUAUGCCCAGGGCUACACACGUGCUACAAUGGUCGGUACAGAGGGUCGCGAAGCCGCGAGGUGGAGCUAAUCCCACAAAACCGAUCCCAGUUCCGGAUUGG
rnacentral:rRNA from 1 species